rnacentral:rRNA from 1 species
AUUGAACGCUGGCGGCAUGCUUUACACAUGCAAGUCGAACGGCAGCGCGGGCUUCGGCCUGGCGGCGAGUGGCGAACGGGUGAGUAAUGCAUCGGAACGUGCCCAGUAGUGGGGGAUAGCCCGGCGAAAGCCGGAUUAAUACCGCAUACGACCUGAGGGUGAAAGCGGGGGACCGAAAGGCCUCGCGCUAUUGGAGCGGCCGAUGUCGGAUUAGCUAGUUGGUGGGGUAAAGGCUUACCAAGGCGACGAUCCGUAGCUGGUCUGAGAGGACGACCAGCCACACUGGGACUGAGACACGGCCCAGACUCCUACGGGAGGCAGCAGUGGGGAAUUUUGGACAAUGGGGGCAACCCUGAUCCAGCCAUGCCGCGUGCGGGAAGAAGGCCUUCGGGUUGUAAACCGCUUUUGUUCGGGAAGAAAUCCUCUGGGCUAAUACCCCGGGGGGAGGACGGUACCGGAAGAAUAAGCACCGGCUAACUACGG